GUGCUCACUCACAGGGGCAAGGCCUAGUUU
rnacentral:sRNA from 1 species